UCUCUUUCUGGAGAUCUCUCUUUAGUGAAGCUUUCCCCUGUGAACCUGGAGUCUUCUGAUAUGGGCGAUUGAUGCUGGUGGCUGGUUUGUGGUGGUUCAACAGUCAGUCACUGUGGCUGCGGAGUCACUAAAGGUGUUACUGGAGCCAUUGUACGGAUGGAUGUCCUGUUGGUGUAGGAGGGACCUACUUGGCCAGAAAAUGCCCAAGGUUGCCUCUACCUCCUGUGUGCCCUGCCUUCGGCUUCCCCACGCAUCUCCCUUCUGAGGCCCUGGAGGCCGGCCAUCCCUUGGCUGAAAUGUAUUCCCAGAGCGAAGAACUCAAAGGAGAUUUGUUUUGCAGAGCUUUCCUUUGCUCAGUGUGCAGUUUCAUUUCUGAUCAUGUUCCCGAUGUUCCCUCUGAUGAAUUGUAGCGCUUUGCUAGAAUGUAACUUGCUGUUUUGCUGAGUACCUAGUGCUGAAGGAAAGGUCUGGAACUGGGAGAUCCAGGAGUAUAAUGUCCUUUAUCAGGAGGACAAGCAGCCUCCAAGCUGGGAAUCACACACAGCAUGGGAAGACCUGCUUUUAAAGGCCUGGUACGUCAAAAGCCAAUGCUGGCUAUUGGGCUGGGGGCUCCCAAGUCACCUGUAAGCCAAGGAACCAUCAGUCACAAGACACAGCAGACUGAGGCCUGCCCCUGGAGACUGAUGCUCCAUCACUGGAGGUGUUCAGGACCGGGUAGGAUAGGGCCCUGGGCAGCUUGAACUAGUGCCUGAUUUAGUGGUUGGCUACACUAUCUGUAGCACAGGGUUGGAACUAAAUGAUCUUGGAGGUCCCUUCUAGCCCAAGCUAUUCUAGGAUUCUCAAACAAACAUUCAGAAAUAUUAGUUUAUUUUCUGGAAAACAAAGAAAAUAUAAGAUAGCAACCACCAUCAGUCCCACCAACAGUAAUGCACCUUGCACUUGCUUGGUUUCUUUUUUUCCUGAGAAUAAGGAAGCUCUUCUGGCACAUGGCAGCACUGUGCCACCAUCCUGGUCUCCUGCUCUCACCUUUUGAAUGACUGUAUCUCAGUACCUGCAGGGGAUUGUAGUGAGGUUUUGGUGAUGGUCCUGGGGACAGUCCAGUGGUUAUGAGCUGUCACAAGACAUGUCACCCACAUGUUAUGAGGUUGUGAGGUGUCGCCCACAGCAGCAAGCAGUGUACAAGGCUGCUGAGUGCUGGGUGAGGAUGAUGAUACCACUGAUCUCACCGUCUCCCAG
rnacentral:lncRNA from 1 species